rnacentral:lncRNA from 1 species
GUCACAGGCAGGAAAAUAAGCAAGUGGAUACUGCUAGGCUUGAAGUAUCUAGACCACUACCAUGGCUCUAAUAAACAGGACUGGCCUAGGCUAAUGGGCUAGAUGACUUCAAUAAAGCAAAGUGGGAAAUGUCUCAAAAACAUUCUUACUCUUCCCACUCAAACGAUAUAAGAGGUGCAUAUUCAAUGAGCAGCAGUAAAGCCCUUCUAAAAUGGCCUAUAGCAGCAGAGAGUGGACACAACCAAUCUGUGGUCAAUCUUGAACUGGGUCACUAUAUGGUAAGUGAAGAACUUUAAUAACCGAGCUCCUAGGUCCCACUUUUACUGUAGGAGCCAGAGAACACAACUCCUCUGUUCCUUCCUAAAAGCUUCAAAGAGGAGAUGUGCCCCAUCUGUAAAGAUACAAGUUUAUAUUUUCAGCAACUCUACCCAAAAUUAAGAAGCGGCACCCAGUGGGAAACUCUUCCCAAACCAAUUCUUUCCAAGUCACACUCCCACUAUGCUUCUUCCUAUGACCUGAUAAAUCAUUUCCUUUGAAUCAUUUUAACCUCUUAGAGAUAAUCUAGAUAAUUUAUUGGCAUCGUUUUUAG